rnacentral:rRNA from 1 species
GGGCGGUCCACCAUUGGCUGGCACUGCUCUGGCUGGGGUUCACCUUCUGGUGAGCCUGCAUGCCCUUCACUGGGUGUGUAGGGGAACCAGGACUUUUACUUUGAAAAAAUUAGAGUGUUUAAAGCAGGCCUAUGCUUGAAUACAUUAGCAUGGAAUAAUAGAAUAGGACCUCGGUUCUAUUUUGUUGGUUUCUAGGACCGAAGUAAUGAUUAAUAGGGAUAGUUGGGGGCAUUAGUAUUUAGUAGCUAGAGGUGAAAUUCUUGGAUUUAUGAAAGACUAACUUCUGCGAAAGCAUUUGCCAAGGAUGUUUUCAUUAAUCAAGAACGAAAGUUAGGGGAUCGAAGACGAUCAGAUACCGUCGUAGUCUUAACCAUAAACUAUGCCGACUAGGGAUCAGACGAUGUUAAUUUACUGACUCGUUUGGCACCUUAUGAGAAAUCAAAGUUUUUGGGUUCCGGGGGGAGUAUGGUCGCAAGGCUGAAACUUAAAGGAAUUGACGGAAGGGCACCACCAGGAGUGGAGCCUGCGGCUUAAUUUGACUCAACACGGGGAAACUCACCAGGUCCAGACAUAGUAAGGAUUGACAGAUUGAGAGCUCUUUCUUGAUUCUAUGGGUGGUGGUGCAUGGCCGUUCUUAGUUGGUGGAGUGAUUUGUCUGCUUAAUUGCGUUAACGAACGAGACCUUAACCUGCUAAAUAGUUAUGCCAACGAAUGUUGGUAGCCAACUUCUUAGAGGGACUGUCGGCGAUUAGCCGACGGAAGUUUUAGGCAAUAACAGGUCUGUUAUGCCCUUAGAUGUCCUGGGCCGCACGCGCGCUACACUGAUGAAGUCAACGA